CGUCUGAUGAAGAUCAGCGGCUGUGAUGAAAGGCUUAUGGUGCAGCUGCAGUGGACCUACGCGCGUAGGAUCAGCAGGUAUAAAUUCUCCUAAUCCUCAAAAAAUUUCAUUUUUCUUCUCACUUUCUCUCUCUUCUUCUCUCGGCUCUCUCUCUUCUCUCAUCUCACUCAAGAACAUUCAUGUUGUUCUUCAUGAACACAUGAAUGCCGGCGGCGGACCACCGCCUGGGCCAGAUUCCGGCGUCCUUAGCCACCGCGACGUCCGGUUUCCGGCGGUUUCACCACCGUGCCGGAUACCUAAAAUCACCCAAAAAUUCCCAAAUUAAACCCAAAAAAUCCAAAAUCCUUUUUUAAACACUUUUAACCAGUUUUAAACACAAAUCAAACCCCAAAACAAAUAAAUCAAAGUAAACAUAUUAAAACCCCAAAAAUUAAAUGUUGUUGUUCUAUUACCUCUUUUGUGUUUCUAAUUCUUCUUUUUCUGGCUCUGUUUAUGAGUUUUUUUUUUGUUAUGGGCUGAAGGGGGAGAAAAAUUGAAAGAACAACACAGAAUCAGUUGUGCCUCCCCCUCUACCAAAAUUCAAUCACCACCAUAAAUCAUAACCAAAUGAAAAAAUCAAAGAGGCAGAGAACCAAAAUCUGAAAGUAGGGAAGAGAGAACAAAGAAACAGGAAAAAAAAAAAGGAAAGGCCAGAAAAUGAAAAAAACAAAUAAAUAAAGGGAGCUUCUAUGGUGCAUUCCAGCUUUGGAAUGUAUGGGUGCAUUCCAAAAUUUUAACCAAUAGAAUUCAAUUUAAUUGCCACAUCAACUAAGGUCCAUGUUAAAUAAUGGAUGGUAAUAUAUCCACUCUGAUCCCAGUUAAGGAAUCCUGUGUUUAAGAGGUUUGAACUGGAAAACAGACAAUGUAGAAGAGCUUGAAGGGUUACAUGAAUAUGCAUUCAACAUGGUGAUUAGACUUGAAGUCAAAAAUGUUAAGAAGGAGAAUGUGAUUCAUAUCAAUUAUACAUAGACAUAGAACUAAGAGUCUCAGAAUACUGCUCACUGACUUGUGUAGAGUUGAUUUGCUGAUGUUUGUGUUUGGAUGUUGGACGGUUUGUGUGUUUAGUUGAGUGUGGAGUAAUGGUACUUAGGGUAGCUUAGGUUAAUUGAAAGGUUUUGGAGGGUUUGAUGUGCUUUGGUCUUGGAAGUUGCAUCUAGUCUAUACUUUAGUUGUAAUUAUUAGCAUGUUGGCUAGAAGGCCAAGCAUCAACUAAUAUUUGGUGUGCUCAAUGUUUCUCAAUGUUUUUUUUUUUGUUUUUUUAUGACAAUGUGUAUUUCCUCAAUGUUUUGGAAAUGCAGAAACGAACCAAAUAUAAACAAUGUAAA